CAGCAAACAUUGGUCCGACGGCGACGUCGUGUGGCCGGCCAAAAAUAGUCGCGGUAGGACGGCAUAAAUCGGUAGAAAUAUGUAACACAGAACAUUUCCUAAAAAUGCAUUCAGAUAUGUUUGUACACGUUUAUAGUUCUAUGGGGUUUCAUGUAUAAUUGUUUUUUUGACUUUUAGAUACGUGUAGUUCAAAAUUUACCCACGUUGUGAAUCGGUUGUGAGAGGACGUCACCUAGUGACGUCAUUUACACGUCCGUUACACGUCCAUCAUGACCCUAUGUGAAAUCCUUGUGGAAUAUGCAAAAGCUGUGCUUACACCUUGAUUAAUACUGCAAUAUUUAAUUAAAGUGCACCAAGUAGUUUUUAAGAGGUUUUAAAGAGGUUGUGAAUAGACGUCCACUGACGUCUUUUACACGUCUCGUCAUGGUUUGUGAAAAAAUGUCCAAGCAAGACUAGCAGGAAAAAAAAAUAUAUAUAUAUAUACAAAGUAAAUAUAUUCACUUUAUCUUUAAAAAAAAAUUAUAAUCAAAAAGAGCCCAGUGUGGUUAAGUGAUUGCAAAGCAAUGCUGCAAUUUAGUCAUUAUUUCAACCUGUUUUAUGUAUUUGUUGUUAUUAUUUUUAUUGAGUCUAUGCAUACACAUGUGAAACAGAUAUAUACCCGGUCACAAUUUCGGUCUGAGUUGGAUGUAAUUGCCAAAACGGUGCUGCCAAGAUGUAGACACAAAACAUACUGAUAUAUUUCGUGAUAUUACAAAAUCCCGCGAUAGGAUAGAUUAUCUCGCGAGAUCUCGCUUUCUUCCGGAAGUUCCCUUCCGGAAGUUCCGGUACAUCAAGCAGGCAACCACCACGAGGAGGAGAGGACUCGAAGAGGACUCUUGGAGGGAGAUUUGUCGAUAUAAAUUACAUAAAAUCUACCGUGGGAUGCUGUGAAGAGGUGGAGACUCUGAAUGGGAUGCAGCAAUGACAGAACACCUGAAGCUCGCUCCAGGAAGAGAUGGGGGUGGAGGUUACAAGAAAUGAGCCAAACAACUGUAGUUUGUUUAAGGGAUAGUUCAUCCAAAAAUGAAAAUAGUCAUAAUUUUCUCACCCUCAUGUUACGAUCAUAAUAAUUUUUCCUACAGUGGCAGUUAAUGGUUUGUGAGAUCUGCUUGGUUACAAACAUUCUUCCAAAUAUCUUUGUGUUUAUAAGACAACUGUGUAAGUCAAUGACAAGAUUAAUAAAGCAUUGAUAAAAAGAAACCAUCUUUUAACAUUCUAGUAGAAAACAUUCUCAGAAAUGUAAUAUUUUAAUAAAUGUUGGUUCUAUACUGUUUAAAAUCA